UACGAAGGGGGCUAGCGUUGCUCGGAUUCACUGGGCGUAAAGGGUGCGCAGGCGGUCGUGUGUGUGAGGCGUGAAAGCCUGGAGCUUAACUCCAGAAUUGCACCUCAAACUACAUGGCUAGAGCAUUGGAGAGGGUAGCGGAAUUCACGGUGUAGUAGUGAAAUGCGUAGAUAUCAGGAGGAACACCCGUGGCGAAGGCGGCUUUCUAGGAUAUACCUGACACUGAGAAGCGACAGCUAGGGGAGCAAACAGG
rnacentral:rRNA from 1 species